UACGAAGGGUGCUAGCGUUGCUCGGAAUCACUGGGCGUAAAGCGCACGUAGGCGGAUCUUUAAGUCAGGGGUGAAAUCCCAAGGCUCAACCUUGGAACUGCCUUUGAUACUGGGGAUCUCGAGUCCGGAAGAGGUGAGUGGAACUGCGAGUGUAGAGGUGAAAUUCGUAGAUAUUCGCAAGAACACCAGUGGCGAAGGCGGCUCACUGGUCCGGUACUGACGCUGAGGUGCGAAAGCGUGGGGAGCAAACAGG
rnacentral:rRNA from 1 species